GCAAAUUUAGGGAUCUACUAUCAUUACCCGUGGAAGAGCGGCUUAAGAAAAUGCUUGAGGUUUGUAAAAUUAUUUGUUUUUUAUUGAGAUAGGGGCAUUAAGAUCUAACAAAAAUUUUCCAUACUUCCUAUUAAGACUAUCCUCCUUGUACUUACUUAGCAUAUGAGAAGGCUAUUUCAGAUGGUGUGGAUGUUUUUGACUAUCCUGUUCAAAUGUCCAAGGAUGGAAUACCUUCUUGCUUAAGCUCUAUUCAUCCUAUUGGGCUGUAAAGUAUUUAUUAUUAUCUAUGCAAUUUUGUGUUGUUGCUUUCAUCUCUAAAUUGUACUAAUGUGUUGUGUUGUGCAUGGCAGAGGCAGAAGUCCUUACAGCUCCACCAAGAUUAGUAUAUAACAACCUAAUUUUGAGGUAAACAUAGACCCUUUACAGCUUUUCCAAAGCAUACUUUACAUAUAAGCUUGUCAUUUCGUCCCCCCACCCUCCGACCCCUCC
rnacentral:lncRNA from 1 species